GGAAUUUUUUACCUAUAAAAAGUUUUUGGGAAAAUAAUUGGGGGGGAAAAACUUUAAGUUUAAUUUCCGGGGAGGUUUUCCGUAAAGGAGAAAAGGUUUUUUGCCCCUUUAGAAGGACCCGCCCACUAGAUUUAUUUUGUUGGUAAGGGUAAGAGUUCCACCCAGGAUUCGAUUUUUAUAGGGGAUUUAGAAGGAUGUUCAGCCACACUGGGAUGAGGGCCCGGCCCAGAUUCCUACGGGAGCAGCCAGUGGGGAAUAUUGACCAUGGGGGGAACCCUGAUCCAGCAAUGCCGCGUGAGUGAGGAAGGCUUUCGGGGUGUAAAACUCUUUCAUCAAUGAAGAUUAUGACAUUAAUGAAGAAAGAAGCUCCGGCUAACUCCGUGCCAGCAGCCGCGGUAAUACGGAGGGGGCUAGCGUUGUUCGGAAUUACUGGGCGUAAAGCGUAUGUAGGCGGAUCAAAAAGUUAGAUGUGAAAUCCCUGGGCUCAACCCAGGAACUGCAUUUAAAACUAGUGAUCUAGAAUUUGGUAGAGGUUAGUAGAAUUUCCAGUGUAGAGGUGAAAUUCGUAGAUAUUGGAAAGAAUACCAGUGGCGAAGGCGACUGACUGGGCCAUUUUUGACGCUGAGAUACGAAAGCGUGGGUAGCAAACAGGAUUAGAUACCCUGGUAGUCCACGCAGUAAACGAUGAGUGCUAGUCGCUGGGUCAAUAGAUUCGGUGUCGAAGCUAACGCAUUAAGCACUCCGCCUGGGGAGUACGGUCGCAAGAUUAAAACUCAAAUAAAUUGACGGGGGCCCGCACAAGCGGUGGAGCAUGUGGUUUAAUUCGAAGCAACGCGAAGAACCUUACCAGACCUUGACAUGGUGUGUUUGAAUUACAGAAUCGUAAUUCUUCAGUUCGGCUGGCACACACACAGGUGCUGCAUGGCUGUCGUCAGCUCGUGUCGUGAGAUGUUGGGUUAAGUCCCGCAACGAGCGCAACCCUCAUUUUUAGUUGCCAUCAGGUUAUGCUGGGCACUCUAAAAAAACUGCCGGUGAUAAGCUGGAGGAAGGCGGGGAUGACGUCAAGUCCUCAUGGCCCUUACGGUCUGGGCUACACACGUGCUACAAUGGUGGUGACAGUGGGCAGCAAUGUCGCAAGAUAUAGCUAAUCCCCAAAAGCCAUCUCAGUUCAGAUUGGACUCUGCAACUCGAGUCCAUGAAGUUGGAAUCGCUAGUAAUCGUAGAUCAGCAUGCUAUUGUAAAUCGCCCC
rnacentral:rRNA from 1 species